UUAAGCGACUAAGCGUACACGGUGGAUGCCCUGGCAGUCAGAGGCGAUGAAGGACGUGCUAAUCUGCGAAAAGCGUCGGUAAGGUGAUAUGAACCGUUACAGCCGGCGAUGUCCGAAUGGGGAAACCCAGUGUGAUUCGUCACACUAUCGUUAACUGAAUACAUAGGUUAACGAGGCGAACCGGGGGAACUGAAACAUCUAAGUACCCCGAGGAAAAGAAAUCAACCGAGAUUCCCCCAGUAGCGGCGAGCGAACGGGGAGCAGCCCAGAGUCUGAAUCAGCUUGUGUGUUAGUGGAACGGUCUGGAAAGUCCGACGGUACAGGGUGAUAGUCCCGUACACCAAAAUGCACAGGUUGUGAACUCGAAGAGUAGGGCGGGACACGUGGUAUCCUGUCUGAAUAUGGGGGGACCAUCCUCCAAGGCUAAAUACUCCUGACUGACCGAUAGUGAACCAGUACCGUGAGGGAAAGGCGAAAAGAACCCCGGCGAGGGGAGUGAAAAAGAACCUGAAACCGUGUACGUACAAGCAGUGGGAGCACCUUCGGGUGUGACUGCGUACCUUUUGUAUAAUGGGUCAGCGACUUAUAUUCUGUAGCAAGGUUAACCGUAUAGGGGAGCCGCAGGGAAACCGAGUCUUAACUGGGCGUUAAGUUGCAGGGUAUAGACCCGAAACCCGGUGAUCUAGCCAUGGGCAGGUUGAAGGUUGGGUAACACUAACUGGAGGACCGAACCGACUAAUGUUGAAAAAUUAGCGGAUGACUUGUGGCUGGGGGUGAAAGGCCAAUCAAACCGGGAGAUAGCUGGUUCUCCCCGAAAGCUAUUUAGGUAGCGCCUCGUGAAUUCAUCUUCGGGGGUAGAGCACUGUUUCGGCUAGGGGGUCAUCCCGACUUACCAACCCGAUGCAAACUACGAAUACCGAAGAAUGUUAUCACGGGAGACACACGGCGGGUGCUAACGUCCGUCGUGAAGAGGGAAACAACCCAGACCGCCAGCUAAGGUCCCAAAGUCAUGGUUAAGUGGGAAACGAUGUGGGAAGGCACAGACAGCCAGGAUGUUGGCUUAGAAGCAGCCAUCAUUUAAAGAAAGCGUAAUAGCUCACUGGUCGAGUCGGCCUGCGCGGAAGAUGUAACGGGGCUAAACCAUGCACCGAAGCUGCGGCAGCGACACUAUGUGUUGUUGGGUAGGGGAGCGUUCUGUAAGCCUGCGAAGGUGACCUGUGAGGGUUGCUGGAGGUAUCAGAAGUGCGAAUGCUGACAUAAGUAACGAUAAAGCGGGUGAAAAGCCCGCUCGCCGGAAGACCAAGGGUUCCUGUCCAACGUUAAUCGGGGCAGGGUGAGUCGACCCCUAAGGCGAGGCCGAAAGGCGUAGUCGAUGGGAAACAGGUUAAUAUUCCUGUACUUGGUGUUACUGCGAAGGGGGGACGGAGAAGGCUAUGUUAGCCGGGCGACGGUUGUCCCGGUUUAAGCAUGUAGGCUGGUUGUCCAGGCAAAUCCGGAUAAUCAAGGCUGAGGUGUGAUGACGAGGCACUACGGUGCUGAAGUAACAAAUGCCCUGCUUCCAGGAAAAGCCUCUAAGCAUCAGGUAACAUCAAAUCGUACCCCAAACCGACACAGGUGGUCAGGUAGAGAAUACCAAGGCGCUUGAGAGAACUCGGGUGAAGGAACUAGGCAAAAUGGUGCCGUAACUUCGGGAGAAGGCACGCUGGUGUGUAGGUGAAGUCCCUGCGGAUGGAGCUGAGACCAGUCGAAGAUACCAGCUGGCUGCAACUGUUUAUUAAAAACACAGCACUGUGCAAACACGAAAGUGGACGUAUACGGUGUGACGCCUGCCCGGUGCCGGAAGGUUAAUUGAUGGGGUUAUCCGUAAGGAGAAGCUCUUGAUCGAAGCCCCGGUAAACGGCGGCCGUAACUAUAACGGUCCUAAGGUAGCGAAAUUCCUUGUCGGGUAAGUUCCGACCUGCACGAAUGGCGUAAUGAUGGCCAGGCUGUCUCCACCCGAGACUCAGUGAAAUUGAACUCGCUGUGAAGAUGCAGUGUACCCGCGGCAAGACGGAAAGACCCCGUGAACCUUUACUAUAGCUUGACACUGAACAUUGAGCCUUGAUGUGUAGGAUAGGUGGGAGGCUUUGAAGCGUGGACGCCAGUCUGCGUGGAGCCAACCUUGAAAUACCACCCUUUAAUGUUUGAUGUUCUAACGUUGGCCCCUUACCGGGGUUGCGGACAGUGUCUGGUGGGUAGUUUGACUGGGGCGGUCUCCUCCCAAAGCGUAACGGAGGAGCACGAAGGUUAGCUAAUCCUGGUCGGACAUCAGGAGGUUAGUGCAAUGGCAUAAGCUAGCUUGACUGCGAGCGUGACGGCGCGAGCAGGUGCGAAAGCAGGUCAUAGUGAUCCGGUGGUUCUGAAUGGAAGGGCCAUCGCUCAACGGAUAAAAGGUACUCCGGGGAUAACAGGCUGAUACCGCCCAAGAGUUCAUAUCGACGGCGGUGUUUGGCACCUCGAUGUCGGCUCAUCACAUCCUGGGGCUGAAGUAGGUCCCAAGGGUAUGGCUGUUCGCCAUUUAAAGUGGUACGCGAGCUGGGUUUAGAACGUCGUGAGACAGUUCGGUCCCUAUCUGCCGUGGGCGCUGGAGAAUUGAGGGGGGCUGCUCCUAGUACGAGAGGACCGGAGUGGACGCAUCACUGGUGUUCGGGUUGUCAUGCCAAUGGCACUGCCCGGUAGCUAAAUGCGGAAGAGAUAAGUGCUGAAAGCAUCUAAGCACGAAACUUGCCCCGAGAUGAGUUCUCCCUGAGACUUUAAGUCUCCUGAAGGAACGUUAAAGACGAUGACGUUGAUAGGCCGGGUGUGUAAGCGCAGCGAUGCGUUGAGCUAACCGGUACUAAUGAACCGUGAGGCUUAACCUU
rnacentral:rRNA from 1 species